UCUAAUAUGGCAGAAUUAAUGCAUAGGUUUUAAGAUCCUUUUAUAAAGAUAUUAUCUUUUAUUAGAA
rnacentral:tRNA from 1 species